GUAAGGCUUUCGCAGAGGUCGCCUGCUUUCCUAGCAGUUCCCACGAGCCAGACCCGGGCUGCCACGCAGGGGCAGGGGUCAGGCGUGGAGGCAGACUGUCCCGGUGCCCCCAGCCAGGCCGCUGGCGAGUCUGGCGCCGCCGCCGGGGAGCAGGGGCCCUGAGCUCUCUCCUCAGCGUCUGGACAGGCCGAGGAGGCAGACGAGGCACAAGUGACAGCUGGGAAGGUUUAAUUGCUCCUCAGUGGCUUGGGAGCACCUCCCUCCGUUGCCAGCGAUCUGCAUUUCAAUGUAGGAAGAGUGGAAAGUAGAGUAGGAUUGCCGCUCAAAGGGGUUACAAUGAUUAAUCAUUUAAAAAGCAAGAUCUUAAUUACAGGCCGCAAUUUUUGCUAUUUAAGGAGUCCAUUAGUUGCCAGAAAGAAGAAGAAAAAAAUUAUCACAGUGGGUUAAUGUCCUGAUCCUCGGGCGGGGCGGGCGACUAAAGGGUCAGAAGAUCCCGGUUCCUCGAGAUGCCACAUCCUCCACAGUGAGCACACCUCUGUCGUUGGCAGUAAGUCACGCCCCACUCAGGAGGUCCAGCCCUGCAUUCCACGUGACCUUUAUCCCAGAAGCCCCGGCAGGCAACAAAGGGGGCAUCCAGUACAGAAGCUGAUGUGGGGGUGUCGGGUCCCACCCCAGCCCCGAACUAAAACUUGCGGGGGACACUGAACAGUGCAACCGUUAACCUCCAUGACUGUAAAGUGUGAGCUGC
rnacentral:lncRNA from 1 species